rnacentral:rRNA from 1 species
UACGGGGGGGGGCAAGCGUUGUUCGGAAUUACUGGGCGUAAAGGGCUCGUAGGCGGCCAACUAAGUCAUACGUGAAAUCCCUCAGCUUAACUGGGGAACUGCGUGUGAUACUGGAUGGCUUGGAUUUGGGAGAGGGAUGCGGAAUUCCAGGUGUAGCGGUGAAAUGCGUAGAUAUCUGGAGGAAUACCGGUGGCGAAGGCGGCAUCCUGGACCGAGAUUGACACUGAUGAGCGAAAGCCAGGGGAGCAAACGGG